UAGGCCAUUUCCAUUAUCCUUCCUCUUUGCUACCAACAUGGCAUCCCACCGUCCCACCCUGUACUCAGCGCGUGUUAAUCUCUUUAAAAGUGGAUGAAAAUAUGCAAAAUUUUACAGAACAUAAGGAAUUUUAGUUGCCGUUGAUAUUGUCAAGAGUUUUUUUUUGCAUUUAUUUAGAGUGGUGUUUGUGUUCGAUAAUUAAGUGUUCUGAUUCUGAUAUGUGAUAUUAUCACCAUGCAUAUCUCAAAAGCACGCCGAGUUGUAUUGCAGACUAUUCAGACUCCUCUCUUUUCUCCUUAUGGCUUGCAGUUAUGAAUAUCAAGUUAUGAAGACUGCGUUGAUGUAUUCACAGAAAUCUAGUUUCACGCUCCUUAUCAGAUGUGACUGUUUUACCAUCCGCUUAUAUUUAUGGAUCAUGGGCAUUCCCAUACCAAUCCUAGUUUUCACAAAUGACAAAUGACUUCUGGAUUUUUCCUAUAAACCACAACAACUUUAUGCAAACGAUUCUCUCUUGAGUAGUAUUUCUGAAAAUUCGUUUCCUUAUUCCCAACAAUAAGCUGUAGCAAACUUCCAAUAGCAGACGGAAGUAAAAAAUGUGCUGCUAGAUUAUUUCUUGCCUUAAUAUGUAAUUGAAAACAGUUUUUGGCUAUUAUAGUGAUGUGAUUGGCAACCAGCCAACCACCAAAAUUCUAUUAAAUCACCAGUCAUCACAGCCACCACCAUCAAUCAUCUGUAACUGUUUUGUGUAUUAGACUGAAAGAGAAUCAGCAUCCUGGUUUUCCUUCCAGGAAAGAGGAAAAGGACAAAGAGAUCAUAAUUAGGUUAAUACUGCGCCGCUAUUCCCUGGACUUCAUCCAUUGGUGGAAACUGACAAGAGAUCAACGACGACUGACUGGCUGACGUGCUGUGAUUCAACAGUACUGCACACUUGCGUGCGUUCCUUCCGUCGCUCCGAGUUGUGCCUGCUCCAGCUACGCGUCCAGCAUCAUUCGACUACCCAACGGACCACUGGGUGGGUCAACCUUCACUGAUUCCUAUAACUGUUCUCAACGCAGCAUAGAGUUUUAAUCUUAAGAUUGUUGGAUGCAUCAUUGUUGCUGUGUGUCAUGGUGAUUUUUUUCGGGACGACGAGCUGAUGAUUUGGGAGAGGAAACUAUUGCGUGAGUAUUGAAUUUUUGUCUUUUAUUUUUGUUCUGUUUGUUGGUUCAAUCCUGGUUCAAUACUGAAGUAUUCAGUUGAGUCAAUUACUGAAGUAUUCUGCUUUGAUCGUUUUAAGCCCAUUUUUGUUAAUUUUUAGUUUUACUUUGUACAUUUCUAAUGAUCCAAUCCAAGCUGCUCACUUGUUAAUUAACCACAUUGAAAUUAUGAGUCAUUCCCGGUACUGCCAGCCUAUUUAAUGUUCAGUAAGUUAAAGUGAGCGUCCACUGAACGUCUGAUCCUGAAUAAAUUAAGAAUGCAAGUUAUCGUUUAUAUUCCUACAUUAUUCUUUUUCUGCUUGUAGUGAAUUUAAAUUUCAUACUUGUUUUAAUUUUUUUACUUCCAUUCCCACAUGACGAAUAUCUAUACCCGCUGUUUUUUGGCGUUACCCACAUUAAAUUUACUCAUUGUUUGGCAA